rnacentral:rRNA from 1 species
UACGUAGGGAGCAAGCGUUGUCCGGAAUCAUUGGGCGUAAAGCGCGCGUAGGUGGCUUCAUAAGUCCGUUGUGAAAGUCAAAGGCUCAACCUUUGAAAGCCGAUGGAUACUGUGAAGCUAGAGUACGGAAGAGGCGAGUGGAAUUCCUGGUGUAGCGGUGGAAUGCGCAGAUAUCGCUUGGAACGCCGAAGGUGAAAACAGGUUGCUGGGGUUGUGCCGACGCUGAGACACGAAAGCCAGGGAGCGAACGGG